rnacentral:rRNA from 1 species
AUGUCAACAUGAGCAAAUCUAGGUUUACAAGAUAGCGCAUCACCAUUAAUAGAACAACUUACAUUCUUUCAUGACCAUGCAUUACUAAUUCUUUUAAUAAUCACUAUUAUAGUAGGAUAUAUUAUAGUAAUAUUAUUUUUUAACAAUUAUACCAACCGGUUUCUUUUGCAUGGUCAAACUAUUGAAAUAAUUUGAACAAUUCUGCCAGCAAUUGUAUUACUUUUUAUUGCCUUCCCAUCUCUUAAAUUAUUAUACUUACUAGACGAAAUUAAUGAACCAUCCAUUACACUAAAAACUAUUGGCCAUCAAUGAUACUGAAGCUAUGAAUAUUCAGAUUUUAUAGAUUUAGAAUUUGACUCAUACAUAAUCCCAACUAAUGAACUUUCACCAAACAAUUUUCGACUAUUAGACGUAGACAACCGAGUAAUUUUACCUACCAACACACAAGUACGUGUAUUAAUUACUGCUGCAGAUGUUAUCCAUUCAUGAACAGUACCAGCAUUAGGAGUAAAAGUUGAUGGAACCCCAGGACGAUUGAACCAAACAAACUUCUCUAUUAACCGUCCUGGAUUAUUUUACGGGCAGUGUUCUGAAAUUUGUGGGGCAAAUCACAGAUUCAUACCAAUUGUAAUUGAAAGUGUACCAGUAAAUUAUUUUAUUAAAUGACUAUCA